UACAUAAAACAUUUUAAUUUUCCAAUAUGAAAAAGAAAGUUUUAAUUCAAAUUAUUGGCUUGAUGUUGAAAUUCCUUCUAGAUUUUAUUUAUGAAAAAAUAUAACUUUACCUUGAUAUAUAAUAUCUAUAAAGAUGUAACUAGGCAGCUUUCAUACAAUUGUGAGGGCCAAACAUUCUUCCUUGAAUUGUUUUGAAAGACAGGACUCUUUCAUAUUCACAAUAUAAAAACUAUUAAUGGUAGAAGUAUAACUUUGCAUUCACUUUUAGAACAUGUUUAGGUCAACAAUAAUCAGAUGAAAAUCACAUAUCACUGUGAAUGCAAGGAAAAUAAUAAUUUGGCAUUAAUGUAAUACAAUCAUAGAUAUAACCAGAUGCUCCGCAGGGUGCAGCUUUAUACGACCGCAGAGGUUGAACCCUGAACGGUUGGGGCAAGUAUGGACACAACAUUCA
rnacentral:lncRNA from 1 species